rnacentral:rRNA from 1 species
AGAUUGAACGCUAGCGGGAUGCUUUACACAUGCAAGUCGAACGGCAGCGCGGACUUCGGUCUGGCGGCGAGUGGCGAACGGGUGAGUAAUAUAUCGGAACGUGCCCAGUAGCGGGGGAUAACUACGCGAAAGCGUGGCUAAUACCGCAUACGCCCGUACGGGGGAAAGGGGGGAUCGCAAGACCUCUCACUAUUGGAGCGGCCGAUAUCAGAUUAGCUAGUUGGUGA